GCUUAGCAUAUCAAUAAGCGGAGGAAAAGAAACUAACAAGGAUUCCCAUAGUAACUGCGAGUGAAGCGGGAAAAGCUCAAAUUUAAAAUCUGGUAGUCUUAUGGCUGCCCGAGUUGUAAUCUAGAGAAGUGUUACCCGCGUUGGACCGUGUACAAGUCUCCUGGAAAGGAGCAUCAUAGAGGGUGAGAAUCCCGUCUUUGACACGGACUGCCAGGGCUUUGUGGUACACUCUCAAAGAGUCGAGUUGUUUGGGAAUGCAGCUCAAAAUGGGUGGUAAAUUCCAUCUAAAGCUAAAUAUUGGCGAGAGACCGAUAGCGAACAAGUACCGUGAGGGAAAGAUGAAAAGAACUUUGGAAAGAGAGUUAAACAGUACGUGAAAUUGCUGAAAGGGAAACGCUUGAAGUUAGUCGCGUUGGCUGGAAAUCAACCCUUUGGGUGUACUUUCUAGUUGACGGGUCAGCAUCAAUUUUGAUUGUUGGAUAAAGGCUUAGGGAAUGUGGCAUCUUCGGAUGUGUUAUAGCCCUAGGUUGCAUACAACAGUUGGGAUUGAGGAACUCAGCACGCCGAAAGGCCGGGUAUUUUACCACGAUUCGUGCUUAGGAUGCUGGCAUAAUAGCUUUAAUCGACCCGUCUUGAAACACGGACCAAGGAGUCUAACAUGCCUGCGAGUAUUUGGGUGGAAAACCCGGAUGCGUAAUGAAAGUGAAAGUUGAGAACCCUGUCGUGGGGUGCAUCGACGCCCGGACUUGAUGUUUACUGACGGUUCCGCGGUAGAGCAUGUAUGUUGGGACCCGAAAGAUGGUGAACUAUGCCUGAAUAGGGUGAAGCCAGAGGAAACUCUGGUGGAGGCUCGUAGCGAUUCUGACGUGCAAAUCGAUCGUCAAAUUUGGGUAUAGGGGCGAAAGACUAAUCGAACCAUCUAGUAGCUGGUUCCUGCCGAAGUCCCCCCUCCAGGGAUU
rnacentral:rRNA from 1 species